GACGAACGCUGGCGGCGUGCUUAACACAUGCAGGUCGAACGAGCGGCGGACGGGUGAGUAAUGUAUGGGGACUGCCCGAUAGAGUGGGAUACCUACUGGAAACGGUGGCUAAUACCGCAUCCUAUCGGAUAACCCAUAUGGGAUUAGCUAGUAGGUAAGGUAAGGGCUUACCUAGGCGACGAUCCCUAGCUGGUCUGCGAGGAUGAUAAGCCACACUGGGACUGAGACACGGCCCAGACUCCUACGGAGGCAGCAGGGGUGAAUAGUGCACAAUGGGCGCAAGCCUGCUGCAGCCAUGCCGCGUGUAUGAAGAAGGCCCUAGGGUUGUAAAGUACUUUCAGUCGGGAGGCGUUGCCGACAGAAGAAGCACCGGCUAACUCCGUGCCAGCAGCCGCGGUAAUUC
rnacentral:rRNA from 1 species